UGCGUAGCCAGAGCAUCAGUCC
rnacentral:miRNA from 1 species